GGUUAACUCUCUAUCCCAGUCAUAUAUAAUGACAUCUGUCUCCUCAGGUUAACUCUCUAUCCCAGUCAUAUAUAAUGCCAUCUGUCUCCUCAGGUUAACUCUCUAUCCCAGUCAUAUAUAAUGCCAUCUGUCUCCUCAGGUUAACUCUCUAUCCCAGUCAUAUAUAAUGACAUCUGUCUCCUCAGGUUAACUCUCUAUCCCAGUCAUAUAUAAUGCCAUCUGUCUCCUCAGGUUAACUCUCUAUCCCAGUCAUAUAUAAUGCCAUCUGUCUCCUCAGGUUAACUCUCUAUCCCAGGUGUAUAUAAUGCCAUCUGUCUCCUCAGGUUAACUCUCUAUCCCAGUCAUAUAUAAUGCCAUCUGUCUCCUCAGGUUAACUCUCUAUCCCAGGUGUAUAUAAUGCCAUCUGUCUCCUCAGGUUAACUCUCUAUCCCAGUCAUAUAUAAUGACAUCUGUCUCCUCAGGUUAACUCUCUAUCCCAGUCAUAUAUAAUGCCAUCUGUCUCCUCAGGUUAACUCUCUAUCCCAGUCAUAUAUAAUGACAUCUGUCUCCUCAGGUUAACUCUCUAUCCCAGUCAUAUAUAAUGCCAUCUGUCUCCUCAGGUUAACUCUCUAUCCCAGUCAUAUAUAAUGACAUCUCCUCAGGUUAACUCUCUAUCCCAGUCAUAUAUAAUGCCAUCUGUCUCCUCAGGUUAACUCUCUAUCCCAGUCAUAUAUAAUGACAUCUGUCUCCUCAGGUUAACUCUCUAUCCCAGGUGUAUAUAAUGCCAUCUGUCUCCUCAGGUUAACUCUCUAUCCCAGUCAUAUAUAAUGCCAUCUGUCUCCUCAGGUUAACUCUCUAUCCCAGUCAUAUAUAAUGCCAUCUGUCUCCUCAGGUUAACUCUCUAUCCCAGUCAUAUAUAAUGCCAUCUGUCUCCUCAGGUUAACUCUCUAUCCCAGUCAUAUAUAAUGACAUCUCCUCAGGUUAAC